rnacentral:rRNA from 1 species
UUGGAGAUAAAGAUGGUCUGACCUGCUCACUGAUAAAAUUAUUUAAGAGCCGCGGUAUUUUGACCGUGCAAAGGUAGCAUAAUCAUUAGGGAUUUAAUUGGAACCUGGUAUGAAGGGUUGGACAAAAGAGAAACUGUCUAUGUAAUAUGAAUUGAAAUUUACCUUUAAGUGAAAAGGCUUAAAUAAAUCAAAGGGACGAUAAGACCCUAUAAAGCUUUAUAAAUAAUUUAAAUUUAAUUGGUUUAAUAAUUAAAGGUUAAGUUUAUUUAUUUUAUUUUAUUGGGGUGAUAUGAGUAUAAAUGAUGUUAACUGCUUAAAAAAAAUUCUAUUAUUAGAGGGUUAAUUAAAUGUAUGAUCCUUAUAUGAAGAUUAAAAGACUAAGUUACUUUAGGGAUAACAGCGUUAUUUUUUUUGAGAGUUCAUAUCGAAAAAGAAGAUUGCGACCUCGAUGUUGAAUUAAAAUAUCUAUAUAAUGCAGUCGUUAUAAAAGAGGGUCUGUUCGACCUUUAAAUUUUUACGUGA